rnacentral:tRNA from 1 species
GCCUGGCUGGCUCAGCUGGUGGAGCACGUGACUCUUGAUCUUGGGGUUGUGAGUUCGAGCCCCACGUUGGGUG